CUGCAGCUCGAGUGGUGAUCACUAUUAUUGGGCCUAAAACGUCCGUAGCCGGUCUUAUAAAUGCCUGGGUAAAUCGUGCCGCUUAACGGUACGAAUUCCGGGUAGACUGUAAGACUUGAGACCGGGUGAGGCUAGAGGUACUCCUGGGGUAGAGGUGAAAUUCUGUAAUCCUAGGGGGACCACCAGUGGCGAAGGCGUCUAGCUAGAACGGGUCUGACGGUGAGGGACGAAGCCCUGGGGCACAAACCGGAUUAGAUACCCGUGUAGUCC
rnacentral:rRNA from 1 species